GAGCUGGGAAGAGUCCCGCCACCGCUGAGGGCCUCUGGGCCUUCUGGGUCUUAGACUGCAGCAGCCUCCAAGCUCCGCUCCACUGCACAUCCGUGGUGCCAGUUGUUUCUCCAGGCAGCUGUAAGACACAGGUUCCUAAAUCUAGAUGUUCGCAGUUAAAGGAAGCCUUGUAGCACAGCAAAUGGCC
rnacentral:lncRNA from 1 species